rnacentral:rRNA from 1 species
GGAAUACGCUUUGGAAACGGAGAACAAAUCUCGAUGUACAGGAAGGAGGCAUCUUCUUUCUGUGAAACAUCCUUUAGGGGAUGGGGCGCGGAUGGACCUGCGGUGCAUUAGUUUGUUGGCGGGGUAAAGGCCCACCAAGACGAUGAUGCAUAGCCGGCCUGAGAGGGCGGACGGCCACAUUGGGACUGAGACACGGCCCAGACUCCUGCGGGAGGCAGCAGUAGGGAAUUUUCGUCAAUGGGCGCAAGCCUGAACGAGCGAUGCCGCGUGAGUGAAGAAGGCCUUCGGGUCGUAAAGCUCUGUUGCGGGGGAAAAAAGGCAGCAUCAGGAAAUGGGUGCUGACUGAUGGUGCCCCGCCAGAAAGUCACGGCUAACUACGUGCCAGCAGCCGCGGUAAUACGUAGGUGGCGAGCGUUAUCCGGAAUGAUUGGGCGUAAAGGGUGCGCAGGCGGUCCUGCAAGUCUGGAGUGAAACGCAUGAGCUCAACUCAUGCAUGGCUUUGGAAACUGGAGGACUGGAGAGCAGGAGAGGGCGGUGGAACUCCAUGUGUAGCGGUAAAAUGCGUAGAUAUAUGGAAGAACACCAGUGGCGAAGGCGGCCGCCUGGCCUGUUGCUGACGCUGAGGCACGAAAGCGUGGGGAGCAAAUAGGAUUAGAUACCCUAGUAGUCCACGCCGUAAACGAUGAGGACCAAGUGUUGGGG